CGAUUGGCAAAUCAAGCCAUUUAAACUGUACUUUGAAAAUGAUUGAAAUAUAUGAAAUAAUUCACUAAAAAUCUUGAUAAAACUAGGGGGGGGGGGGGUCUCAACACUCGCAGGUGCGUGUAGCUCACAGCUUGAUGAUAUGAGGGAAAGUAAAUGUGUUUUAUAAAUCACAAGUCUACUACCAAUAAUUAUGCACACUUUUUAGAAUUUCGUAAAUUUUUCGUUUUUGUACCUUUUCGCAUGGACUGGCUCAUAUGGUAUGGGUGGUUUUGGUGGAAUUGGUGGUUUAAAUGGUAAUAGAGCAUAUGGUUUGGGUGGUCUGAAUGGUUAUGGAUCACACAGUAUUGGUGGGUUCAGAAACGGAAAAUACGGAUACACUGGUGUUGGUGGUUUUGGUAAAUUUGGAGGUAAGGUAUUUCAAAUUAUUCAAUGGAAAUAUUACUUUGUUUUUAUUUUAAUUUCAAAUUACUUCAUUUUGAACACUUGGGUGAGAUAUACUAAUAGUAAAACACAUCAUUCGAUAAAAACAACGGAACAAUAACUAACAUAAUACAGAGUCUGUCACGUAAAGUUAUUAUAAUCUUGUUUUAUAACAAACUAUGGAAGUAGUGAGCUUUGUUAAUAUUAAAAUGAUAGUAAUCAAAUUACAUCACAACAACAUUAAAGAAAGAAAUGAUUUAAGGGGAUCAGCUGUAUAAAUACCAAAAGUCCAAAUGAACAUUAUAUCAAAAGGAUUGGAUAAUGUAUGUGUCUAUUUUUGCAAUAACAAAGGUGUAUUUAUAUUGCUGUUGUGAUGUCUACUUGUUUUAUUUGAUUUGCUACAAAUAAGGGAAAUGUUUAGAAAUGAAACAUAAAGAUAUAACAAAAAAGAACUAACACAAAAUAAUUUAAAGAUACAGAUGUACGGAAUAAAAAUUAAAAAGAAGAUAUGUAUGCACAUCAAGUAUUUUAUGCUUCAGCUUUGAACCAUAGGAAAUCCAAUCACAAUCAUAUGUUUAUGAAUAUUUGAAGCAAAAAUUCUAUGACAUUUCUAUUAAAUAUUUCUUUUAUUUGUUUUGCAGGUAAAAAGGGAACAUAUUAGAAAUCCAAGAUUCAUUGAGUAGAAGUCGACGGUUUUAUACAAAUUUGUUAAAUGUAUUAUUAUGAUUUAUACUUAUUAAACUGAAUAUAAAA
rnacentral:lncRNA from 1 species